rnacentral:rRNA from 1 species
UUGGAGGGCAAGUCUGGUGCCAGCAGCCGCGGUAAUUCCAGCUCCAAUAGCGUAUAUUAAAGUUGUUGCAGUUAAAAAGCUCGUAGUUGAAUUCCGGGGUUAGUAGGUUGGUCAUGCCUCUGGUAUGUACUGGUCUCACUGAUUCCUCCUUCCUGAAGAAUCUUAAUGCCAUUAAUUUGGUGUUUUGGGGAAUUUGGACUGUUACUUUGAAAAAAUUAGAGUGUUUAAAGCAAGCUAACGCUUGAAUAUAUUAGCAUGGAAUAAUGAAAUAGGACGUUCGAUCCUAUUUUGUUGGUUUCUAGGAUUGACGUAAUGAUUAUAGGGAUAGUUGGGGGCAUUAGUAUUCAAUUGUCAGAGGUGAAAUUCUUGGACUUAUUGAAGACUAACUACUGCGAAAGCAUUUGCCAAGGAUGUUUUUAUUAAUCAAGAACGAAAGUUAGGGGAUCGAAGACGAUCAGAUACCGUCGUAGUCUUAACCAUAAACUAUGCCGACUAGGGAUCGGAUGAUGUUAAUUUUUUAAUGACUCAUUCGGCGCCUUACGGGAAACCAAAGUGUUUGGGUUC